CCCGGGACCCCGGCCUGAGCGGAGUCAGCGGCCCACCGGGAAAACCUGGCGAAGCCGGGAAGCCAGGGAAAGAUCCAAGGUUAAUACCAGGAAUGAAGGGUGAAGCAGGAGUACCAGGGC